CCUACGGGAGGCAGCAGUGGGGAAUAUUGCGCAAUGGGCGAAAGCCUGACGCAGCGACGCCGCGUGAGGGAUGAAGGCCUUCGGGUUGUAAACCUCUUUCAGCAGGGACGAAAACAGACGGUACCUGCAGAAGAAGCACCGGCCAACUACGUGCCAGCAGCCGCGGUAAUACGUAGGGUGCAAGCGUUGUCCGGAAUUAUUGGGCGUAAAGAGCUCGUAGGCGGUUUGUCGCGUCGGCUGUGAAAACUCGGGGCUCAACCCCGAGCCUGCAGUCGAUACGGGCAGACUAGAGUGCUGUAGGGGAGACUGGAAUUCCUGGUGUAGCGGUGAAAUGCGCAGAUAUCAGGAGGAACACCGGUGGCGAAGGCGGGUCUCUGGGCAGUAACUGACGCUGAGGAGCGAAAGCGUGGGGAGCAAACAGGAUUAGAUACCCUGGUAGUCCACGCCGUAAACGGUGGGUGCUAGGUGUGAGCGUAUCACGCGUCGUGCGCAGCUACGCAUAGCACCCGCCGUCGGGAGGUACGGCCGCGAGACGUAAACUACAAUAGAGUAGACGGCGUGAGACGUGCCGACGGACGACGACGAGGGAGGUAGG
rnacentral:rRNA from 1 species